rnacentral:lncRNA from 1 species
AUAGGGAGGAUUCAGAGUCGUGGAUCCAGGGCCUCCUUGGCUAGAGCCGAGCACUUUCCGACUCCUGGCACCUGCCGACAUCGUGGGAAGGAAGCCGCUGCGUGACUUCGUCGUCACAGAACGCAGGCUGUAAAGCCUGUGACUCUUCUAAGCUCUGCCGAAGUUCACACGCGCCUCUCUGUUCGUUCGUGAAGCCUUUCUAGGGACCCUCCAGCAGCGCAUGGUGCCAGAAGAUCCCUGGUUUCAAAAAGGAGCUCUCGGGCUGAGUUGCCCUCUGCAAGUGUAUGUGUUGACAUCUCGAAGCCCAGGACCUCAAGAUGUGACUGCGUUUGGAGAGAGCAUCUUUAAAGAGCUGAUCAAGGUACAGUGAGGUCAGUAGGGCAGACCCAGAUGCCAGGGCUUGGGGGACACGAGGAAAUCAGGCACAGGCAGGCACCGAGAGAGGACCACACGAGGACCUAGGGAGAAGUUGCCAGUCUGCAGGCCAUGCAGAGAGGGAGCGGCCUGCCCACACCUUUGUCUGGGAGCGGCAGCCCCAGGACAGGGAGAGAGAGUCUUGG